rnacentral:ncRNA from 2 species
AUUAAUAAUUUUUGCCAGGGCGCCUCUGUCCUGGAAGGCAGAGGGUAAUAGGGAACCAGGUUGAAAUCCUGGACGGUCGGGCCACUGUGAAUGGGGAGCCGCCAAACGAAAAGCCACUGAGUUAAUUCGGGAAGGCAUUUGGCUGUAAUGAUCCUAAAGUCAGGAAACCUGCCCUGGUAGUCCGGUAUAU